rnacentral:rRNA from 1 species
UACGGGGGGGGCAAGCGUUGUUCGGAAUUACUGGGCGUAAAGGGUGCGUAGGUGGCGCUGUAAGUCGGGUGUGAAAUUUCGGAGCUUAACUCCGAAACUGCAUUCGAUACUGCGGUGCUUGAGGACUGGAGAGGAGACUGGAAUUCAUGGUGUAGCAGUGAAAUGCGUAGAGAUCAUGAGGAAGACCAGUGGCGAAGGCGGGUCUCUGGACAGUUCCUGACACUGAGGCACGAAGGCCAGGGGAGCAAACGGG